GACGUAGGUGGCGAACGUUAUCCGGAAUUAUUGGGCGUAAAGGGUGCGUAGAUGGCCUGAUAAGUUAGCAGUGGGAAAUCGAGGCUCAACCUCGUGGAAGCUGGUAAUACUGUCAGGCUCGAGUGCAGGAGAGGUUAACGGAACUCCAUGUGGAGCGGUAAAAUGUGCAGGAUAUAUGGAAGAACACCAAUAACGGCGAAGGCAGUUAACUAUUCUGUUACUGACAUUGAGGCACGAAAGCGUGGGGAGCAAAACGG
rnacentral:rRNA from 1 species